rnacentral:rRNA from 1 species
UACGGGAGGCAGCAGUGGGGAAUAUUGCACAAUGGGCGAAAGCCUGAUGCAGCUAUGCCGCGUGUAUGAAGAAGGCCUUAGGGUUGUAAAGUACUUUCAUCGGGGAGGAAAAACAAAACUAAUAAUUUUAUUUCUUGACGUUACCCGAAAAAGAAGCACCGGCUAACUCCGUGCCAGCAGCCGCGGUAAUACGGAGGGUGCUAGCGUUAAUCAGAAUUACUGGGCGUAAAGAGCACGUAGGUGGUUUUUUUAAGUCAGAUGUGAAAUCCUUGGGCUUAACCUAGGAACUGCAUUUUGAAACUGAAAUACUAGAGUAUCGUAGAGGGAGGUAGAAUUCUAGGUGUAGCGGUGAAAUGCGUAGAUAUCUGGAGGAAUACCUGUGGCGAAAGCGGCCUCCUAAACGAAUACUGACACUGAGGUGCGAAAAGCGUGGGGAGCAAACAGGGAUUAGAUACC